rnacentral:snRNA from 1 species
GCUCUUCGGGGCAUAUGGUGAACUGAAAAUAUACAGAAAAGAUUAGCAUGGCCCCUGCACUAUGACAUGACUCUUUUUCCUUCGAGAUUCUAUAUUGACGU